rfam:Gossypium raimondii Chr02_contig_34, whole genome shotgun sequence.
UGUUAACAAUUUCAUCUAUUUCAAUUGUUAAAAAUUUGCGUGACUAAUGGAAUAACUAGACAGUUAUACAUAGCAUACCAUGUGUAUCUUAUGCUGACGUACGAGGACUAGUUUUUAACAGUAAAAAUAGAUAGAUUUUUUAAACA